AAAAACACAAAACAAAUAGAAAUGGUUUAGCCGAACUACGGCAACUCUGAUUCUCAUGUCCAGAUGAGAUACGUAGGCACGAGAUGCGAUGUCUUGUCGAGUUUGACUAACAACUAACAACUACGGCAACUCUGAUUCUCAUGUCCAGAUGAGAUACGUAGGCACGAGAUGCGAUGUCUUGUCGAGUUUGACUAACAACUAAC
rnacentral:lncRNA from 1 species